UACAGAGGUGGCAAGCGUUGUUCGGAAUUACUGGGCGUAAAGGGCGCGUAGGCGGUUCGGUAAGUCCUGUGUGAAAUCCCUCGGCUCAACUGAGGAACUGCCUUUGAAACUGUCAGGCUUGAGGCCGGGAGGGGGUAGCGGAAUUCCCAGUGUAGCGGUGAAAUGCGCAGAUAUCAGGAGGAACACCGAUGGCGAAGGCAGGUCUCUGGGCCAUUACUGACACUGAGAAGCGAAAGCAUGGGGAGCGAACAGG
rnacentral:rRNA from 1 species